CCUACGGGGGGCUGCAGUGGGGGAUAUUGCGCAAUGGGCGAAAGCCUGACGCAGCGACGCCGCGUGAGGGAUGAAGGUCUUCGGAUCGUAAAACUCUGUCAGCAGGGAAGAACGGUCACUGUGCUAAUCAGCAGUGAAUUGACGGUACCUGCAAAGGCAGCACCGGCUAACUCCGUGCCAGCAGCCGCGGUAAUAAGUAGGGGGCGAGCGUUAAUCGGAAUUACUGGGCGUAAAGCGCUCGUAGGAGGUAUGUCAAGUCAAGGGGUAAAUCCCCGCGCUCAACGUGGGAACUGCCUUUGAAACUGGCAAACUGGAGUGUGUGAGAGGAUAGUGGAAUUCCAGGUGUAGGGGUGAAAUCCGUAGAUAUCUGGAGGAACACCAGUGGCGAAGGCGACUAUCUGGCACAUAACUGACGCUGAGGAGCGAAAGUGUGGGUAGCAAACAGGAUUAGAUACCCUGGUAGUC
rnacentral:rRNA from 1 species